GAUGAACGCUAGCGGCAGGCUUAACACAUGCAAGUCGAGGGGCAGCAUAAUGAAGUAGCAAUACUGAAUUGAUGGCGACCGGCGCACGGGUGCGUAACGCGUAUGUAACCUACCUCUAACAGGGGGAUAACACUGAGAAAUUGGUACUAAUACCCCCAUAACACUUGAUAGGGCAUCCUAUUGAGUUGAAAGUUCCGGCGGUUAGAGAUGGACAUGCGUUGUAUUAGCUAGAUGGUGAGGUAACGGCUCACCAUGGCGACGAUACAUAGGGGGACUGAGAGGUUAACCCCCCACACUGGUACUGAGACACGGACCAGACUCCUACGGGAGGCAGCAGUGAGGAAUAUUGGGUCAAAUGGACGCAAGUCUGAACCAGCCAUGCCGCGUGCAGGAUGACGGCUCUAUGAGUUGUAAACUGCUUUGUACAAGGGUAAACCCCGAUACGUGUAUCGGGCUGAAAGUACUGUACGAAUAAGGAUCGGCUAACUCCG
rnacentral:rRNA from 1 species